AGUGAACGCUGGCGGUAGGCCUAACACAUGCAAGUCGAACGGCAGCACAGGAGAGCUUGCUCUCUGGGUGGCGAGUGGCGGACGGGUGAGGAAUACAUCGGAAUCUACCUUGUCGGGGGGGAUAACGUAGGGAAACUUACGCUAAUACCGCAUACGACCUUCGGGUGAAAGUGGGGGACCGCAAGGCCUCACGGGAUUAGAUGAGCCGAUGUCGGAUUAGCUAGUUGGCGGGGUAAAAGCCCACAAAGGCGACGAUCCGUAGCUGGUCUGAGAGGAUGAUCAGCCACACUGGAACUGAGACACGGUCCAGACUCCUACGGGAGGCAGCAGUGGGGAAUAUUGGACAAUGGGCGCAAGCCUGAUCCAGCCAUACCGCGUGGGUGAAGAAGGCCUUCGGGUUGUAAAGCCCUUUUGUUGGGAAAGAAAUCUUGCCGGUUAAUACCUGGCGAGGAUGACGGUACCCAAAGAAUAAGCACCGGCUAACUUCGUGCCAGCCGCCGCCGUAAAAC
rnacentral:rRNA from 1 species